rnacentral:rRNA from 1 species
GGCUCAGGAUGAACGCUGGCGGCGUGCUUAACACAUGCAAGUCGAACGAAGAUGCCGGAGUGCUUGCACUUUGGCAGACUGAGUGGCGGACGGGUGAGUAACGCGUGGGUAACCUGCCUUAUACAGGGGGAUAACAGUUGGAAACGACUGCUAAUACCGCAUAAGCGCACGGUAUCGCAUGAUACAGUGUGAAAAACUCCGGUGGUAUAAGAUGGACCCGCGUCUGAUUAGCUUGUUGGUGAGGUAACGGCCCACCAAGGCGACGAUCAGUAGCCGACUUGAGAGAGUGAUCGGCCACAUUGGGACUGAGACACGGCCCAAACUCCUACGGGAGGCAGCAGUGGGGAAUAUUGCACAAUGGGCGAAAGCCUGAUGCAGCGACGCCGCGUGAGUGAAGAAGUAUUUCGGUAUGUAAAGCUCUAUCAGCAGGGAAGAAAAUGACGGUACCUGACUAAGAAGCCCCGGCUAACUACGUG